CCGGUCUUGUACCUGGUGGCGAGCGGCGGACGGGUGAGUAAUGCCUAGGAAUCUGCCUGGUAGUGGGGGAUAACGCUCGGAAACGGACGCUAAUACCGCAUACGUCCUACGGGAGAAAGCAGGGGACCUUCGGGCCUUGCGCUAUCAGAUGAGCCUAGGUCGGAUUAGCUAGUUGGUGAGGUAAUGGCUCACCAAGGCGACGAUCCGUAACUGGUCUGAGAGGAUGAUCAGUCACACUGGAACUGAGACACGGUCCAGACUCCUACGGGAGGCAGCAGUGGGGAAUAUUGGACAAUGGGCGAAAGCCUGAUCCAGCCAUGCCGCGUGUGUGAAGAAGGUCUUCGGAUUGUAAAGCACUUUAAGUUGGGAGGAAGGGCAUUAACCUAAUACGUUGGUGUCUUGACGUUACCGACAGAAUAAGCACCGGCUAACUCUGUGCCAGCAGCCGCGGUAAUACAGAGGGUGCAAGCGUUAAUCGGAAUUACUGGGCGUAAAGCGCGCGUAGGUGGUUUGUUAAGUUGGAUGUGAAAUCCCCGGGCUCAACCUGGGAACUGCAUUCAAAACUGACAAGCUAGAGUAUGGUAGAGGGUGGUGGAAUUUCCUGUGUAGCGGUGAAAUGCGUANAUAUAGGAAGGAACACCAGUGGCGAAGGCGACCACCUGGACUGAUACUGACACUGAGGUGCGAAAGCGUGGGGAGCAAACAGGAUUANAUACCCUGGUAGUCCACGCCGUAAACGAUGUCAACUANCCGUUGGGAGCCUUGAGCUCUUANUGGCNCANCUAACGCAUUAANUUGACCGCCUGGGGAGUNCGGCCNCAAGGUUAAAACUCAAAUGAAUUGACNGGGGCCCGCNCAACNGUGGANCAUGUGGUUNAUUNNAANCACCCNAAAANCUUNCCAGGCCUUGNCNUCNAUGAACUUUNCANAAAUNGAUUGGUNCCUUCGGNACCUUU
rnacentral:rRNA from 1 species